rnacentral:rRNA from 1 species
AGGACGAACGCUGGCGGCGUGCUUAACACAUGCAAGUCAAGGGGGCCUAGCAAUAGGCAACCGGCGAACGGGUGCGUAACACGUGAGCAACCUGCCGAUUUGUGGGGGAUAGCCGGCCCAACGGCCGGGUAAUACCGCAUACGAUCUUUUGGGGGAGUCCCUGGGAGAUGAAACUUUCGAGGCAGAUCGAGGGGCUCGCGGCCUAUCAGCUAGUUGGCGGGGUAAUGGCCCACCAAGGCAUCGACGGGUAGCUGGUCUGAGAGGAUGGCCAGCCACAUUGGGACUGAGAGACGGCCCAGACUCCUACGGGAGGCAGCAGUGGGGAAUCUUGCGCAAUGGCCGAAAGGCUGACGCAGCGACGCCGCGUGGGGGAUGAAGGGUUUCGGCUUGUAAACCCCUUUUCUCGGGACGAACGACGAGUUUUGACUCGUUUGACGGUACCGGGUGAAUAAGCACCGGCUAACUCCGUGCCAGCAGCCGC